UAUCCCUUUCCAAUUUAAUUUUAUAUCAUUUUCCCCUUAUUUAUUUUUGUUAAACCACAUUGGCUUUCUUUCUGUUUUCUUUAGAAGUCAACUCUCCUUCCCGCCUGAGGGCCUCUGCUCUUUCUAUUGCUUGGAAUCUUCUCACGAUGGACUCAGCCUUUCUUUCACUCUCCACUCCAGUGUUGCCUUAGAGAGGUUGUCUCUGACCUGCCAAUUGGAGUUUGUCCCAGAAUCUACUGUCCUGCUCCAAGCUGGACUGUGAGAUGUUUGGGGACCUACCUACCUUCAGCGCUCUCCUGAGUCAACUGAUUUUUCUCAUUUUGUUCCAGCAUAAUUUAAAGUAGCUUUCUAGGAAAAGAUAAAUUGGAAACAAAUUUUCUAUGUCUUUGAAUAUCUGAAAAUAUCCACACUCUCCUUUUCAUUAAUAAAUUGAAUCAGAU
rnacentral:lncRNA from 10 species